GUGUGGUGGUGGGCUUCUGUAAUCGAAGCUACUCGGGAGGCUGAGGCAGAAUUGUUUGAACCCUGGAGGGGGAGGUUGCAGUAAGCUGAGAUUUCGCCAUUGCCCUCCAGCCUGGGCAACAAGAGCAAAAUUCCAUCUCAAAAAAAAUUUAAAAAAGGAAAAGAAAGGAUAUUCUGAUUCUGGAGUGAAAAGCUUAUGCAAAAAGCUUAUGCAGGACAGCAUGAUCAAGAGAAUGCUAUAAGUAAAAUCAUCAACAAGUUAAAGAUAGAGAUGAAGGUCUUGCUAUGCUGUCCAAGCUGUUCUCAAACUCCUGUCCUCAAGCAAUCCUAACACCUCAGCCUCCCAAACUGUUGUAAUACAGCAUGCUCUGUGGUCAUUGCCACAAGAUGAUGUGAGGCCACAGGGAGAACCAGGCCUAGACUCACCCAAGCAAUAUGAAGGUUUGGAAGUUGAUCAGAAAUUGGCACCUGAGUUCAUAAGCAUGUGAGCCUCUCAUCAGGACCUUAAAUAAACUGAAGACAUUGUUGUACAAAGAUAAUCAUUCCUCCAGCAUUCAGUCACUAGGGACUGCUGAAUGCUAGACAUUGAUUAAUCACUCUUACCCACAAUUCAUGAUUUAUUUAUUGUAAAAACUCUAUGGGGUAACUGUUAGUGCAUGUAUUAUCCGCAUUUUAUGUAAGAUGAUCUUGAGAUUAACAGAAUAACUUACCCAGGCAGUAAGUGGCAGAUGAGGAUUAUAACCAAGCCCUUUGGGCUCCAAGUUCCAGACUCUUUCUAAUCUG
rnacentral:lncRNA from 1 species